UUUUUUUGUUUUCGGCUAAGGUGGGCUUUGGUCCGUUUGUUGUGGCCUGUGGAUCAGAUCAGAAAGCAUACCCCGCUAAACCUAAUUCUCGCCUUUGUUCAUGCGAGUCUGAUUUCGGCGGCGAGAAUGACGAUCGAUAGUUCUCGCUCUGUCUGUAACGGAAAUCGACUUUAAUGGCAUUAAUACAGACGCAGUACGAGCCCUUCGAUGGUUGGCCUCACCCUAACGCAUUCAGAGAAGAUCAACUCUGUCAGCGACGAUCUGUACCAAUAGAUCGGAGAAGUUGAGAAUCCAUAUAAGAAGGCAAUCUUUGUAAUUGGCCAAACCUUGGCUCCUUUUGUUGAAGACAACCGCAUCCCCUGUUUCGGCUUUGGCCGCUCAACGAACCAUGACGAGAAAGUCUUCAGCUUCCACUGUGACAGGUGACGAGAUGUUUGGCUAUGACCUAGGAAGAACUCAGUCAACAAGAGAAAUCAACUAUGGAAGCCAUUGUUGACGAGAGCUCAUAUGCUAUGUCGAUUGUUAUAGUCAGUGUUGGAGACGUCCCAUGGGCAGACAUGAAGAAGUUCGAUGACAUGAUCCCUAAGCGUGAAUUCAAUAACUUUCAGGUAUCAUCUCAUUUCCUAUUUUAGUUCCAUUUGUAUACUCUGUGUUCGAUCUUGAUCUUCUCUGCAAAGUUUGUUAAUUUCACAAAGAUCAAGAAGAGAGAUUCAUCAGAGUUAGGCAAAGAAACAGCAUUUGCUCUUGCUGCUCUAAUGGAGAUUACGCUUUAGUAUCAAGUAACAACUGAACUCGGCUUACUCGGGGGCUAAGAAAAUAAAUCUGUGGCCUCCUCUAUUCCUUAUACACCUCCAAUUCGUACCGAGCUACCCUCGAUUGUAUCAGACUCAGACGAACAUACUCGGGUCCUAAAACUGCACAUUUUUAAUCCAGAUUAGAUUUCUCCUGUUUGUCAUGGGAUCUGUAAUUGCGGUUUGUGCCGGAAUCAUAAAGGAUGGAUUCCAUCUGUCCCGGUUUACAGAAUGGUGUGCUACAAUAAUCUUAUCUACCAUAUUACUAUAUUAACGUGCUACCUGCAAACAUUCUGUUCAUUCUUGGGAAAAAGUUUUAUGUGAUAAGGUUUGUUCAGUUCCAUGGUCCACAGUUGUAGAAGAAGAGCGGUAUAUGCGUCUAUAUGUUAGAGUGGUCGAGUGGGAUGAUUCAGUAUGAGAAACGCAUUCAAGAACGCUAAAUUGUUGUAUUGGGCAGAGAUAAAUGGAACUUCAUGUGACUUAUAUUUUCCUGAUGUCUACGUUGGUGAUGUUAAUUGGAAUGCUGAAGUUGACACUGGAGAACUCAUUGGAUUAUGACCAGCAUUGUCAUGGAUGGAGUCAGUUUCAAAACAAGAACUUGGGUCGUAAUAAAAAGAACAACAGUUUCAAAAACAAGAACUUGGGUUCAUGAGAAAAAUAUUGACAACAGUAGCUACAACUACGAAAAGGUUGGGAAUUUGAACAGUGAGGAUCAUCAAUGAAAAUGGAGAAAGAGAGGAGCUGUGCAAUGUGGAGGAGAUUGGGUGGAGGAUUGUCGAUGUGGAAAUGCGACUUAAGAAAUCCCCACAAAUUUUAACUAUUUUUUUUUGUUACCCAUGAUGAAUAAAAUUCAAUUGUUUUUGGUCAAAAAUGGACUGAUUGUUUGCUUCAAACUGUUCAUCAAACAAAUUACAAAAAUCUCACUUUAAGA